ACGUACUGUGGAGAACAUGAGAACACGUGGAAUAGGAGCACAGCGCUGGUGUGGUUGUGUGGGCUCCGCACGGUGAUGCAGGAUAUCUGCUGAGGUAUCUGUGCACACGGCACCGGAGGAGAGCUGGAUGGAAGGCAGCCAUACAGUCCCAGCUCUGAGAGCCUGUGACUGUCAAUACAGACUGGACCUCCUUGGGUCUCAGAUCUUCAUCAUAAGACUAAGACAAUCUCUGUGGUUCCUGCUGAGCCCAGAGUUCUCGGCCCACUGGUCUUGCAUCCAGUUUUACCUCCUGACUUCCAGCAAGGAACUGCCUUACUUGGCUUAAAGUGUAGCUUAUGGCCUUAAAAUAGAAGGUUAAUGGACUCUGCAGAGAUGAAUGCACUUGGUACGUUUGCAUACAUAUGGGAAAUAGAAGAGGAGUUUUAUAUUAAUCGAAGGCUUUGUCUCCUUAGUAUAUACUUCAUUCAACCAAACAAGUCCGCUAGUUAAGAAACCAAGAUUAAAGUACUAGAGAGUUUCCAGAGGCAACUUUAGCUUUAGGGAAAGAAUGGUAGAGAAGCACAAGGUCCACAAUAUAAUGGCAAGCAGAAGUCACCCUACCCCAGGAGAGGACGGACCAGUCAACAUGUCUGACCUUUUCAAUUGCUAGUUUCUACACUUCUCACGGCAUCUCGAUGGAACAAAUGAUCAUAGAGGAGUUCACUUAGUGAAAAAGAAAUACACAUAAAUCAAAAAAGGAGAGUCUAAAGUAAUUUUUUUUCGCUUUGGGGUUCUCUAAAGCUUGCGUCAAUCCACUUUUUUUGUUGCUGUUAUUAAUAAAGUUGAAGUCUAAGAGAUGAA